UUGAAUUUUAAAUAAAAGAUAAUGAAAAAUAUUAUAUAUAGAAAAAUAUUUUAAUUAAUUAUAAGAAAUUAUCUUUGAUUUAAAUUUUAAAUAUGAUUGAGAAAAUUUUGCUAUCUGAAGGAAAAUUUUUAGGAAAGUUUAAGACUUUAAAAUCCCUCCCAAUGUAUAGUUUUUAAGAUAUAAAAAGAAAACCUAUUACUGUUAUUUGGUAUUGGCAUCAGUGUGUCUCGAGGCUUAGAGCAAGUGAGCAAUAUCUCCAAGGAUCACGUCUUGCACGUCUUGCACAUCUUGCACUCUAACAAUCAGGUUCUAAGUUUCAAACAUCAUAUUAUUUUCUGUUUUUCUUAUUUGAUUUGUUUGAUUUUAGGCCUUUAGCACUACAACACACAGAACAAUUAUUCAAAAAACAAACCUUUAAUUUUUCAUUCUCUUUUUUGGUUUUUCCUGGUAUUUUCCCCAGUUUUUAGUGCUUCCAUGGCUGAAAGUAGUGGUCAAGGUCAAAACAAGCAACAAGAACAGAAUAAGAGAAAAGACCCUGGAUGGAAAUAUAAUUUCUUGAGUGACCCAAAUGACACCAAUACUGUAACUUGUUCCUUUUGUAACAAAUCUACAAAAGGAGGGAUUCAUAGAGCUAAGUUGCAUCAAGUUGGAGGUAAUAGGAAUGCUGCUAAAUGUUUGAAGUGUCCUGAUAAUGUGAGGAAGGAGUUGCAAGAUUACAUGGACAAAAAAAAGGUAGAAAAAGAGACAUAUGAUAAUCCAAUUAUAAAUGUUGUGGAUAUAAGUAUGCAUGGUGAAGAGGAGGAGGAGGAGGAGGAGUUGUAUGGAAAGAAAGGAAAAAAUGUUAUGCUUACAUCAAAGAAGCCUAGACAAAAAGGUCCCAUGGAUUCUUUUAUGAGGAAACCAGAGCAAGUUAUUCAAUUACGAAAAUAAGGAAAGUUGCGAGAUGGAAAUAUAAUUGAUAAAUUUGAUAAGGAGAGAAGAGCUAUGGUUUGUCAAUACAUUGGUCGAUUUUUCUACCAAGCUGGCAUUCCAUUUAAUGUUGCUAACAUGGAUUCCUUUAAAAUUAUGAUUGAAGCUAUUGGACAAUAUAGUCCAAAUCUAAAACCCCCAAGUUACUAUGAGUUGAGGGUGCCCAUUUUGAAGAAAGAAGUUGAACUUACAAAUGAUAUGGUGAAAAAUCAUAGAGAUAUGUGGAAAAGAAAAGGCUGUUCCAUUAUCCUUGAUGGGUGGACUAGCCGAACAAAUAGAAGCUUGAUAAAUUUUUUAGUGAAUUGCCCAGCUGGCACAAUGUUUAUAAAAUCUGUUGAUGCAUCCUUAUAUGUUAAAACAGUAAAAAGAUUGUUCAAUUUGAUUGAUGAUUUUGUUGACCAUGUUGGGGAAGAGAAUAUUGUUCAAAUAGUGACGGAUAAUGGGUCUAACUUUAAAGCUGCUGGUAAAUUAUUAGAAAUGAAAAGGUUGAAUCUUUUUUGGACACCAUGUGCAGCACAUUGUGUAGAUCUUAUAUUAGAAGACAUUGGAAAAAUUUUUAGGGUAUCAAAGACUUUGGCAAGAGCAAUCAAUUUGAUAGGGUAUAUAUAUAACCACGUAGGACUUCUAAAUAUGAUGAGAGAGUUCACUAAGCAAAAGGAGUUGGUGAGGCUUGGCAAAACUAGAUUCUGCACUUCAUAUCUUACUCUUAAAAGCAUUCAUCAACAGAAAACUGCAUUGAGGACUAUGUUUACUUCAGAGAAGUGGGAAUCAAGUAAGUGGUCAAGAGAACUUAAAGGAAAGCGUGUGGUUGAAAGUGUGCUUAUGCCUUCUUUUUGGAAUACCGUUUCUUAUAUAUUAAAAGUUAUGGGACCUCUUGUUCGAGUGCUAAGACUUGUAGAUAAUGAAAAAAAACCAGCCAUGGGUUAUAUAUAUGAAGCAAUGGAUAGAGCCAAGGAGGCAAUUCAAAAGGCAUUUGAUAAUAAUGAAGAUAAGUAUAGAGAGAUUUUUCAUAUUAUUGAUGAAAGGUGGAAUUGCCAAUUUCAUCAACCUCUACAUGCUGCAGCUCAUCUCCUAAAUCCAGAAUAUUAUUAUGACAAUCCAGAAAUAGAGUUUGAUGAAGAAAUCACUAGGGGCCUAAUAUCUUGCAUAGGGAGACUUGUGAAAGACCCAACCGCCCAAGAGAAGAUCAUGAAUGAAUUGACAAUAUAUAAAAGAGCAGAGGGACUUUUUGGGGUUGAUUUGGCCAUUAGAACAAGGAAAACAAGAGCUCUAGGUAGAUUAUAAUCACACAUUAGUUAUUUAAUAGUCCUAGUUUUACUAAUUUAGUUAAAUAAUUAUGUAUUAUUUUUAUGACUGUAGCGGAAUGGUGGGCUUCUUAUGGAAGCUCUAGCCCUAAUUUACAACAUUUGGCAAUCAGAAUACUAAGCCUUACUUGUAGUGCAUCAGGCUGUGAACGUAAUUGGAGUGUGUUUGAGCAGAUUCAUACAAAAAAGUGGAACAAGCUUGCUCAAGAUAGACUCAAUGAUUUGGUCUUUGUGAAAUACAAUCAAGCACUGAAAAAUAGAUAUGAUAGGCAAGAUGUAGAUCCCAUUUCCUUGGCGGAUAUUGAUGAAAGUAAUGAAUGGCUACUUGGUAGUAUGAUGGGUGUCGAUGAGGACGCAGCAGAUGAGCGUGUUUUUGGUGAUGAUGAGAAUGAAGAGUUAACAUGGGGGCUGUUGCAUCAGCAGCAGGUGUUGGAGAACCAAUUAAACAAACAAGAAGCCAAAGCCAAGCUAAAGGAAAAAAAGCUAGCUCAUCUAGAGCUAAAGGAAAACAACCGAUUACCAACAUUGAGGAACUUGCAAAUUUUGAUUCAGAUGAGUUAGAGGAAGACGAUGAAUGAUAUAAAUCCAACAAUGAAGAAGGAGAAAGUCCUGAGCUUGCCGCAUCUGAAUCUGAUUCAGAUUUCUAGUUUGAUUUUUUUAUAGGCCUCAAUAUUGUUUUUUCAUAUUUUAAAGACAUUUUAUGCACUUGAUUGAUUAUUGGAAUAGUUUAUAUUAUUUUGUUGUAGUUUUGUAGAAGUUUUUGAUUGAAGUAGAUUUAUAUUUAUCACUUUAUCUAUGGUUUGUUGUCUAUAAUCUAUGUAUUAUGCAUUUUAUCUGUAGUGGCGCCUUGCUUCACUCAGGCGUGUGCCUUUGUAGCGCUUUGCGCCUAAGGCGUUUUACCAGCUUUGCGCCUUGAGUGCUUCUUUCGCCUUUAACAACACUGGUGUUGAAGUUGGAGAACAAAAUUUGGGCAAGAAUUGAAUUUUUUGUUGUGAAAAACUCAGCCUCAUAUGUGUCUACGUGUGUGUGUGUGUGUGUCAAAUUUCUCAAAUAACAAGUUGACAUAAUAAUAUUUAUCAAAUGAUAGGCUAUUGAUUCUUCUCUCAUUUUGCGAUGAAAGAAAAUCACUACACUGGAUUUGUCCACAUACACCCACACUUAGGGCCAGUUAGAGUUGGGCCUAUGUGGCCUGGGCUAGCUGACAGCUGUAAUCAAUAACUUGAAGCAUGCCAGUAUUAUUAAUAUUAUGGUUUGUUUUGUUAGUGAGAUUAAGCAUUUAGGAAGAAUUGAACAUGUUUUAGACUUUAGGUAGUUGCAUGUUAUCAACUAGAUGUCUAGAUCACAUUGACCAGGCACUGAAAUCUGUGUUGCUUAAAAUAAUAUAUGAAAUAUGUCUUGAGAUUUGACCAUUUUAUUGCGAUUCUCUUCAAUAUACUUCAUUUACUAAAUGUUGUUAAGAUUUUUGCUUCAGUUAUGCGUGGCUCUAGUACUGUGAUAGAAGAUGGGAUUUAUUGUUUCUGGACAUUGUGAUCCUUCA